GGGGAUGAUUGGCAUCGACUGUAUUAUGUGAUUCAGAGUAAGCGAGCGGAGAAUGUGCCUAACUCUUUAAAAUUGGUGCAAACUAUAAGUGCAAACACAAAUCGCACUGGUUAUGCCCUAGCGGCGUAAUCCGUCCGACUGAUAAUUUUGCUUUCGGUCAUCAGUUGGGCGUCGUAACUAGAAAGCCACUGGUCAUUUGUCAUGUUGGUGGGCAAAUGGCGAGACUUUAAUCAACUUGGGUAUGCUAUUUCGUCUGUUUGAGACGCAUACUUGAAACUUAACAAGCAGACUGCGCUCGGAGAAAGUUUUGAUGAAGUAAUUUGGGACCCGGGUUCGACUCCCGGCAUCUCCACAU
rnacentral:tmRNA from 1 species